UGGGGAAUAUUGGACAAUGGGCGGAAGCCUGAUCCAGCAACGCCGCGUGAGGGAUGACGGCCUUCGGGUUGUAAACCUCUUUCAGUACCGACGAAGCGAAAGUGACGGUAGGUACAGAAGAAGGACCGGCCAACUACGUGCCAGCAGCCGCGGUAAUACGUAGGGUCCGAGCGUUGUCCGGAAUUAUUGGGCGUAAAGGGCUCGUAGGCGGUUUGUCGCGUCGGGAGUGAAAACAGCGGGCUUAACUCGUUGCUUGCUUUCGAUACGGGGCAGACUAGAGGUAUGCAGGGGAGAAUGGAAUUCCUGGUGUAGCGGUGAAAUGCGCAGAUAUCAGGAGGAACACCGGUGGCGAAGGCGGUUCUCUGGGCAUUACCUGACGCUGAGGAGCGAAAGUGUGGGGAGCGAACAGGAUUAGAUACCCUGGUAGUCCACACCGUAAACGUUGGGCGCUAGGUGUGGGGUCCUUUCCACGGAUUCCGUGCCGUGGCU
rnacentral:rRNA from 1 species